rnacentral:rRNA from 1 species
CCUACGGGAGGCAGCAGUGGGGAAUCUUGCGCAAUGGGCGAAAGCCUGACGCAGCCAUGCCGCGUGUAUGAUGAAGGUCUUAGGAUUGUAAAAUACUUUCACCGGGGACGAUAAUGACGGUACCCGGAGAAGAAGCCCCGGCUAACUUCGUGCCGGCAGCCGCGGUAAUACGAAGGGGGCUAGCGUUGCUCGGAAUUACUGGGCGUAAAGGGAGCGUAGGCGGAUAGUUUAGUCAGAGGUGAAAGCCCAGGGCUCAACCUUGGAACUGCCUUUGAUACUGGCUAUCUUGAGUAUGGGAGAGGUGAGUGGAACUCCGAGUGUAGAGGUGAAAUUCGUAGAUAUUCGGAAGAACACCAGUGGCGAAGGCGACUCACUGGCCCAUUACUGACGCAGAGGCUCGAAAGCGUGGGGAGCAAACAGGAUUAGAUACCCUGGUAGUCCACGCCGUAAACGAUGAGUGCUAGUUGUCGGCAUGCAUGCAUGUCGGUGACGCAGCUACGACAUAAGACACUCCGCCGUCGGGAGGUACGGUCGCGAAGAAUUAAACUAACAAUAGAAGUAGUACGGCGUGAGACGUCGCCGACGGACGACGACGAGGGAGGAGG